CUGCGCUGGAUGGCUUUGGCACAGAAAAGACGCCAUUGGUGGUCGACAAAGAACGGACCGCCGGUCCUCCUCGCUUGUUGGCGCGGAGCGACUGCAGCUGUGCGGGUGCCGACGUGACUGGAGCCUGCACUGGAAAAAAGGGGAGCAUCGGCUGUCCCCCGGGGGGGAAGCCGGGGGCGCCCGAUGC
rnacentral:ribozyme from 14 species